AUUGAACGCUGGCGGCAGGCCUAACACAUGCAAGUCGAGCGGUAACAGGAAGAAGCUUGCUUCUUUGCUGACGAGUGGCGGACGGGUGAGUAAUGUCUGGGAAACUGCCUGAUGGAGGGGGAUAACUACUGGAAACGGUAGCUAAUACCGCAUAACGUCGCAAGACCAAAAAGGGGGACCUUCGGGCCUCUUGCCAUCGGAUGUGCCCAGAUGGGAUUAGCUAGUAGGUGGGGUAACGGCUCACCUAGGCGACGAUCCCUAGCUGGUCUGAGAGGAUGACCAGCCACACUGGAACUGAGACACGGUCCAGACUCCUACGGGAGGCAGCAGUGGGGAAUAUUGCACAAUGGGCGCAAGCCUGAUGCAGCCAUGCCGCGUGUAUGAAGAAGGCCUUCGGGUUGUAAAGUACUUUCAGCGGGGAGGAAGGGAGUAAGGUUAAUACCUUUGCUCAUUGACGUUACCCGCAGAAGAAGCACCGGCUAACUCCGUG
rnacentral:rRNA from 1 species